rnacentral:lncRNA from 1 species
GCUGGGUCAAUAAUGGCCCAAUUUGGGUCAUUUCUAAAAAAACUGGGUUAUUUUGACCCAGCACUGUUAGGUUACGUGAAUGUGGUUAUUUUGACCCAGCACUGUUAGGUUACGUGAAUGUGGUUAUUUUGACCCAGCACUGUUAGGUUACGUGAAUGUGGUUAUUUUGACCCAGCACUGUUAGGUUACGUGAAUGUGGUUAUUUUGUCCCAGCACUGUUAGGUUACGUGAAUGUGGUUAUUUUGACCCAGCACUGUUAGGUUACGUGAAUGUGGUUAUUUUGUCCCAGCAGUGGGUUGCUCUUUUGCUGGGUUAUUGUUAUUCAUGUAUUUUUGACCAAUCUGUGGGUUAUGUCUUACUUUAUUGCUGGGUAACCAUUAUUUUGAUUUUUAUUGCUUGUCUCUACUAUAGAAUCUGCUGUUUUUAUAUUAGUACAAAUACUUCUAACGAUAACAAUCAAUGUUAUAACGUUAGUACAGUAUGAAAU